rnacentral:rRNA from 1 species
UGGGGAAUUUUGGACAAUGGGCGAAAGCCUGAUCCAGCAAUGCCGCGUGUGUGAAGAAGGCCUUCGGGUUGUAAAGCACUUUUGUCCGGAAAGAAAUCCUUGGCUCUAAUACAGUCGGGGGAUGACGGUACCGGAAGAAUAAGCACCGGCUAACUACGUGCCAGCAGCCGCGGUAAUACGUAGGGUGCAAGCGUUAAUCGGAAUUACUGGGCGUAAAGCGUGCGCAGGCGGUUUGCUAAGACCGAUGUGAAAUCCCCGGGCUCAACCUGGGAACUGCAUUGGUGACUGGCAGGCUAGAGUAUGGCAGAGGGGGGUAGAAUUCCACGUGUAGCAGUGAAAUGCGUAGAGAUGUGGAGGAAUACCGAUGGCGAAGGCAGCCCCCUGGGCCAAUACUGACGCUCAUGCACGAAAGCGUGGGGAGCAAACAGGAUUAGAUACCCUGGUAGUCCACGCCCUAAAACGAUGUCAACUAGUUGUUGGGGGAUUCAUUUCCUUAGUAACGUAGCUAACGCGUGAAGUUGACCGCCUGGGGGAGUACGGUCGCAAGAUUAAAACUCAAAUGAAUUGACGGGGUCAUAGCUGUUUCCU